ensembl:lncRNA
AAUAUCGUUAACAUGGUUAAAGAUUGCUUACUAGAAUUAUAGUUCAGUAUGUAAUAAACAUAAUAUUACUGUGGUUAAAUGAGUAAUAAAUGUAUUAGUACCAGAAUUAGAUAUAUAACAACAAUCAUAUUUUGUGUUGGGGUUAGAUGUGUAAUAAACAUUAGUGUUGGGGUUAGAUGUGUAGUAAAUGUUUUAUUAUCAGGGUUAGAUGUGUAAUAAACAUUAGUGUUGGGGUUAGAUGUGUAAUAAUGUUUUAUUAUCAGGGUUAGAUGUGUAUAAAUGUUUUAUUAUCAGGGUUAGAUGUGUAAUAAAUGUUUUAUUAUCAGGGUUAGAUGUGUAUAAUGUAUUAUCAGGGUUAGAUGUGUAAUAAACAUUAGUGUUGGGGUUAGAUGUGUAGUAAAUGUUUUAUUAUCAGGGUUAGAUGUGUAAUAAAUGUUUUAUUAUCAGGGUUAGAUGUAUGUGUAAUGUUUUAUUAUCAGGGUUAGAUGUGUAAUAAAUGUUUUAUUAUCAGGGUUAGAUGUGUAAUAACAUUAGUGUUGGGGUUAGAUGUGUAAUAAAUGUUUUAUUAUCAGGGUUAGAUGUGUAAUAAAUGUUUUAUUAUCAGGGUUAGAUGUGUAGAAAUGUUUUAUU